rnacentral:pre_miRNA from 1 species
CAACUACUCCCUCCGUUCGGAAUUACUUGUCGUAGAAAUGGAUGCACCUAGACGUAUUUUAGUUCUAGAUACAUCCAUUUCCGAGACAAGUAAUUCCGAACGGAGGAAGUACAUC